UACGUAGGGGGCUAGCGUUGUCCGGAAUCAUUGGGCGUAAAGCGCGUGUAGGCGGUCGUGCAAGUCGGGUGUGAAAGCCCAGGGCUCAACCCUGGAAGUGCAUUCGAUACUGCAUGGCUAGAGUCCCGGAGAGGAUGGUGGAACUCUCGGUGUAGAGGUGAAAUUCGUAGAUAUCGAGAAGAACACCGGUGGCGAAGGCGGCCAUCUGGACGGUGACUGACGCUGAGACGCGAAAGCGUGGGGAGCAAACAGG
rnacentral:rRNA from 1 species